GAUGAACGCUGGCGGCGUGCCUAAUACAUGCAAGUCGAGCGAACAGACGAGGAGCUUGCCCCUCUGACGUUAGCGGCGGACGGGUGAGUAACACGUGGAUAACCUACCUAUAAGACUGGGAUAACUUCGGGGAACCGGAGCUAAUACCGGAUAAUAUAUUGAACCGCAUGGUUCAAUAGUGAACGACGGUUUUGCUGUCACUUAUAGAUGGAUCCGCGCCGCAUUAGCUAGUUGGUAAGGUAACGGCUUACCAAGGCGACGAUGCGUAGCCGACCUGAGAGGGUGAUCGGCCACACUGGAACUGAGACACGGUCCAGACUCCUACGGGAGGCAGCAGUAGGGAAUCUUCCGCAAUGGGCGAAAGCCUGACGGAGCAACGCCGCGUGUGUGAUGAAGGUCUUCGGAUCGUAAAACUCUGUUAUUAGGGAAGAACAAAUGUGUAAGUAACUAUGCACGUCUUGACGGUACCUAAUCAGAAAGCCCCGGCUAACUACGUG
rnacentral:rRNA from 1 species